UGUCAGUUAUACAACUGACGGAAGUGGAAUUAACCACAUGGAAGUAUAAUGUUAUGAGUCGACCGUCUGGGCAGCCCCU
rnacentral:ncRNA from 2 species